UGCACGUUGCUGGCCACCGUUCCUCUCCACCGUCGCACAUCACCACCGCCACCGCUGGAAAUCACCACCGCCACUACCGCAAAUAAUAGGUUUUUGUCCCUCUAUCUCUGUCACUCCCGGUCCUCUCCCUCUCUGUCGAUCUGGAUGGCUUUUGGCAUAGACAUGUGGAUCUUCUAUUUUUGUGUAUAGAGGAUAAUUUACACUUUUGAACUGUCCCACUUUUUUGUCGUCCUCUACUUUUUGUGUGGAAUUUAGAUGAAUUGUACAUAUAACUUUUGGUGAGGUACAUAAUACUUUUGACAUCGAACUUGUAUU